AUGUUUGGACAUCUCCUGUUGCAAGUAAUACGGGCUUUCUUUAUUAUCUUGUCAUACUUGACGAUUUUUCGCAUUAUGUGUGGACCUUCCCGUUGUGCCGCAAGUCGGAUGUUGCAUCCACUCUCGCCGCUUUCUAUUUUUAUGUUCUCACGCAGUUUGGUCGUCCCAUUCUUGCAUUGCAGACAGAUAACGGGAAGGAGUUUGACAACAUCACUGUUCGUAACCUUCUCACCACACAUGGCACGAUUUUUCGUCUCACUUGCCCGUACACCUCGCAGCAGAAUGGUCGUGCUGAGCGCAUCCUUCGCACUCUUAAUGACUGCGUUAGGACUCUUUCAUGCCAAUGUGCCGCCGCGCUUUUGGCCUGACACUCUCGCCACCGCUUCUCUCCUCAUCAACAUCCGUCCAUGUCGUACUCGCGGGAACUUUGCACCUCAUCAUCUUCUUUUCGGUGCGCCUCCCUCUUAUGAUGGGCUUCGCAUUUUCGGCUGCCUUUGCUACCCUAGCAUCGCUGCGACUGCGCCUCAUAAGCUCGCACCCCGCUCCGUCACCUGCAUCUUUCUCGGCUACCCACCUAACACCAAGGGCUAUCACUGCUAUGAUCCCGUCUCCCAUCGUGUUUUCACCUCCCGACACGUAUAA
rnacentral:rRNA from 1 species